rnacentral:piRNA from 1 species
UACUCUGUGGAUGGCGCACCUCUGGGC